UACGGGGGGAGCAAGCGUUGUUCGGAUUUACUGGGCGUAAAGGGCGCGUAGGCGGUCAGCACAAGUCAGUUGUGAAAUCUCCGGGCUUAACCCGGAAAGGUCAACUGAUACUGUGCGACUGGAGUGCGGAAGGGGCAACUGGAAUUCUCGGUGUAGCGGUGAAAUGCGUAGAUAUCAGGAGGAACACCGGUGGCGAAGGCGGGUCUCUGGGCCGAUACUGACGCUGAGGAGCGAAAGCGUGGGGAGCGAACAGG
rnacentral:rRNA from 1 species